UGGAAAACAGUUCACCCACCAGAAAUCUGAGUCAGGGGGGCAUUACACUGCAGCAUUUCAAACCUCUGUUGCUGAGCCCUCCCUGGGCUCAUCAGCUGAAGGGAUGGGAACACUCCAGGCUCAAUUCAGGCAAGGGAAUUCUUGAAGGAGCACAGGUGCCUAAUGCCAUGCAAACUGGGGCCUUUGGAGCCAUUUCUUCUCACUUGGGACUGAAUAUGGACUACAGUGGAGGGAAAUUUACUUGAAGGCAAGCCAAGGAGGAGCAGAGGAAUAUGGCAAGCAUGGUGAUGGAGAAACUCACUGGAGCAGGGAAUGCCAAGAAGAAGGGUGAAAAGUAAAUUCCUCAAUGCUGCCAUACUUGAGGAACUCCUUUUGCUUCUGCCAAAUUAACUAUAUCAAAAGCAAAACAGUCAAGAUAAGAAGAGAAUUUCCCUAUUGGUAUUUGGAAAUAAAAGAUUCAUUGCAAACAUUGUUCCUUUUUAAUAAAAAAAUGUGAAAAAAUGAUUGGGAAAAAUAAAUCAUCAGUUGCCCAUUUCUUCAGUGUUUCACUAAACUUAGAGAAACAUUUUGGUAUUUGUUGGAAAUAUUAAGAAUAUUGUGAAUAAAGAGGGGUAUGAAU